UUCGCACCACGCGAGCCCACCUUUGGGGCCUUCAGAUUGUGAGGUCUGUGGGAACUUGGAAGCUAGCCUUUCACUGGUAAAAGCAAUAAGGGAGACAAAAGAAGUACAGGAAGAACAUGGAAGGGCUAGAAAUUGAAGACAGCAUUGUCUGUACCUCCCAUAAACUCCCAUGAAUAAGGCAAUGGAGUUGUAAGCGACAACCAUCAUUUGGAAGCAGUAAUAGAAACAAUUUGUUUGUUUUAUUUGGCUAUAUGUUAAGCGUUUAAUGAAAUAAGUAAAAACAGUCCUAUUGUCAACAAAGGCUCAAAACAUUUAACUACUUCAUAAAAACUCAAGACUAUGAGGUUGUACUGAAAGCAACCUCUGUGUGUCAUUUUCUCUGAACUAUUAAUUCAAAUACAAUGUUAUUACAUCACUUGAUAGAGUAAUCCUUACUGUGCGACUAACAUUGUUUCUGUAUUUCUAGACAUCGCAUAACAAUGGAUAUGGAAAAGAAACAAAAAGCAGUAAUUGAGUUCUUGUGGUUGUCAGCAGAACUGCUACUGACAACCACAAAAGGCUCCAAAUUGUGUAUGGCAAGGCAAGAAUGGAUGAGAAUAAUGUGCAAAGAUGGAUGAAAAAGUUUGAAGAAAGUGGAACCAGUGUUGUAAAGAAACUAUGUAAUGAAAAACUUAAAAUGUAACAAAAUGGCAACUAACCACCUGAUAGGGCUUGCUCUUAGAAAUCAAACUAAUUACUCAGACCAUGGGCCUUUGCAGACCAUAGAGUUAGAGUGCUACGGUUCCAUUUUGGAGCCAACAAGGUGUAGUGAUUUAAGCAUUACACUACCAUUCUAGAGACCUGAGUUCAAAUCCCCAUUCGGGUAGGGAACCCCCCUGGAUAAUCUUGUGUACAUCACACUCUCUCAGACUCAGGGGAAGGGAAAGGGAACUUUCUACUGAAUGAAGCUUGUCAAGGAAAGCCCAUGAUAUGGUCAUUUUAGGGUCACCAUAAAUGUUGUGGGUCCUGAAGGCACACAACAACUGGGAUUGAUGAAGCACUAGGAAUAGCAAUCUGUUUAAUUAUUCUAAAUGUCCCUCCACAAAUUGUAAAACCCAGAUUUCCAUAGAAUAGAAUGAUUGUAGUUAAAGUGGAAUCAUAGCUCCAUAUUGUCAUACUGUAAAAGGUUCCCGGGAUACAGGUUAUCAUUCCUACAGCUUCCUGCCACUAAAAUUUGUCCCUCUGUGCCACUAUCUCAAACUUUGAAAAAACUCUUUUUUUGAACUCCAGCUUCCAAUACACGAGGAAUCCCUACCGAGGUCCUCCAAUAUGAUUCUAUGGCCAUAUCCAGCAGAAAUUGGCCAUAGCAUCAUGCUAGAAGACCUAGAAAUGCCUAGAGAGGUGAAAAAAAUUAAAAAUUUCUUUAUUUGCAGGGGUUUUAAAAUUCAAAAUUUGUUUUUUGUUCACUUGCGUUUUCUUUUUGUUAAGUCUAGAGCUAUUGUAUACUAAAUAAAUGAUAGUGUAAACAUG